CAAGGCUUGACAUAUACAGGAAUAUGGCAGAGAUGUCAUAGCCGCAAGGUCUGUAUACAGGUGGUGCAUGGUUGUCGUCAGCUCGUGUCGUGAGAUGUUGGGUUAAGUCCCGCAACGAGCGCAACCCUCGUUCUGUGUUGCCAGCAUUUAGUUGGGGACUCACAGGAGACUGCCGGGGUUAACUCGGAGGAAGGUGGGGAUGACGUCAAAUCAUCAUGCCCCUUAUGUCUUGGGCUGCACGCAUGCUACAAUGGCUGGUACAAACGGCUGCAAUACCGCAAGGUGGAGCGAAUCCGAGAAAGCUAGUCUCAGUUCGGAUUGGGGUCUGCAACUCGACCCCAUGAAGUCGGAGUUGCUAGUAAUCGUAGAUCAGCAACGCUACGGUGAAUA
rnacentral:rRNA from 2 species